ACGAACGCUGGCGGCGUGCCUAACACAUGCAAGUCGAACGGAGUCAUUUUGAAGUAGCAAUACGGAUGGAUGACUUAGUGGCGCACGGGUGAGUAACACGUAGGUAACCUUCCCUCAAGAGGGGGACAACCUCGGGAAACCGAGGCUAAUACCCCAUAAGACCACAGGCCGAGAGGCCAGUGGCAAAAGGAGCAAUCCGCUUGUGGAUGGGCCUGCGGCCUAUCAGGUAGUUGGUGAGGUAACGGCCCACCAAGCCUAAGACGGGUAGCCGGACUGAGAGGUCGAUCGGCCACACUGGAACUGAGACACGGUCCAGACUCCUACGGGAGGCAGCAGUGGGGAAUUUUGCACAAUGGGCGAAAGCCUGAUGCAGCGACGCCGCGUGGAGGAUGAAGGUCUUCGGGUUGUAAACUCCUUUUGUAGGGGACAAUAAUGAUGGUACCCUGCGAAUAAGCCACGGCUAACUCUGU
rnacentral:rRNA from 1 species